GAUGGGUUGUUGCUGGUUCUCUAGGGAGCAUGUGCACACCUUGUCAUCUUUAUAUCUCCACCUGUGCACUUUUUGUAGACCUUUUCAGGUCUAUGUUGCCUCAUUUUACCCCAAUGUAUGUCAAUAGAAUGUUGUGCCUAUAUAUAAUAUAUACAACUUUCAGCAACGGAUCUCUUGGCUCUCGCAUCGAUGAAGAACGCAGCGAAAUGCGAUAAGUAAUGUGAAUUGCAGAAUUCAGUGAAUCAUCGAAUCUUUGAACGCACCUUGCGCUCCUUGGUAUUCCGAGGAGCAUGCCUGUUUGAGUGUCAUUAAUAUAAUCAACCUUCUCUUGUUUUGAGAAUGGUUUGGAUGUGGGGGGUUUGCUGGCCUCUCUCAAAAGGUUCAGCUCCCCUGAAAUGCAUUAGCAGAACAACCUUUGCUCAUUGGUGUGAUAACUAUCUACGCUUAUGAAUAUGAGGGGCAGUUCAGCUUUCUAACGGUCUUUGGACAAUUCAUCAUUAAUGUGACCUCAAAUCAGGUAGGACUACCCGCUGAACUUAA
rnacentral:rRNA from 1 species